CAGCCGCGGUAAUACGUAGGGUGCAAGCGUUAAUCGGAAUUACUGGGCGUAAAGCGUGCGCAGGCGGUUAUAUAAGACAGAUGUGAAAUCCCCGGGCUCAACCUGGGAACUGCAUUUGUGACUGUAUAGCUAGAGUACGGCAGAGGGGGAUGGAAUUCCGCGUGUAGCAGUGAAAUGCGUAGAUAUGCGGAGGAACACCGAUGGCGAAGGCAAUCCCCUGGGCCUGUACUGACGCUCAUGCACGAAAGCGUGGGGAGCAAACAGGAUUAGAUACACCUGUAGUCCCUGUCUCUUAUACACA
rnacentral:rRNA from 1 species